rnacentral:misc_RNA from 1 species
GUGCGAACGGACUUGGUUCUUGGGAAGCCAUUAAAAUACAGUUUCACUUUCAGCUCUCAAUUAGUUGUGAGCAUUUUCUGGAGUUUCAACUGAUGCUUUUUCUUUCCCACCGAGAAUGCUUUGUCUGAGGUAUUCUCCGGUAAUUUUUCCUACUAGAAGACAGGAAACAGUUCAGCUCCCCAAGAACUAUAAUCGUAACGUUGUGGUGUGCGAAGCUAAAGGUCCACGACCAAGGUAUCCUCGAGUGUGGAAAACAAAAAAGAAAAUAGGGACCAUUUCCAAGUCACUGAAGCUUGUUGAGUGUAUAAAGGGAUUAUCAAAUGUCAAGGAAGAAGUCUACGGAGCGCUUGAUUCAUUCAUUGCAUGGGAACUGGAGUUCCCUUUGAUUACAGUGAAGAAAGCAUUAAAAAUUCUUGAGAAUGAAAAAGAGUGGAAAAGGAUAAUUCAGGUGACAAAGUGGAUGUUGAGUAAAGGUCAAGGGAGAACAAUGGGAAGCUAUUUUGCAUUGUUAAACGCCUUGGCUGAGGAUGGAAGACUUGAGGAAGCUGAAGAGCUUUGGCUGAAACUAUUCUCUCAGAAUCUGGAAAGCAUGCCUCGUAUUUUCUUUCAGAAAAUGAUAGCCAUAUAUUAUCACAAGGAGAUGAAUGAGAAGAUGUUUGAGAUAUUCGCAGACAUGGAAGAGCUUGGUAUUAGGCCAACUGUGCCAGUUGUCAAAAUGGUGGGAAAUGUUUUUCAGAAACUGGGAAUGUUGGACAAGUACCAGAAAUUAAAUAAGAAAUAUCCACCUCCAAAGUGGGAAUAUCGAUACAUAAAAGGGAAGAGGGUUAAAAUAAGAACAAAAGAUCUUGAUAAAUCUCACGAUCAUGAUGUUGAAAGUAACUCUGAAGAGGUAGAUGAGUCUGAGUUCGACGAGAACUCACAAGAUCAAGAAAAUGAAGAUUAUGUAGAGCAAAUCGAAGACGCUGAAGAGUGUGAACCUGCUGAAGUAUCAGUUGUAUCUAGUGAAACAAGGGAAUCCUCUAUGUCAACUUAAUGAUUUGAAUUCCUAUAAAGUUAUCAUUCGUUCGAC